AUUGAACGCUGGCGGCAGGCCUAACACAUGCAAGUCGAACGAGUGGCGGACGGGUGAGUAAUGUCUGGGAAACUGCCUGAUGGAGGUGGAUAACUACUGGAAACGGUAGCUAAUACCGCAUACCAUCGGAUGUGCCCAGAUGGGAUUAGCUAGUAGGUGGGGUAACGGCUCACCUCGGCGACGAUCCCUAGCUGGUCUGAGAGGAUGACCAGCCACACUGGAACUGAGACACGGUACAGACCACUACGGGAGGCGGCAGUGGGGAAAAUGGCACAAUGGGCGCAAGCCUGAUGCAGCCAGGCCGCGUGUAUGAAGAAGGCCUUCGGGUUGUAAAGUACUUUCAGCGGGGAGGCGUUACCCGCAGAAGAAGCACCGGCUAACUCCGUGCCAGCAGCCGCGGUAAUUC
rnacentral:rRNA from 1 species